rnacentral:siRNA from 1 species
AUUAAAUGUGUUUGGAGAUCCAAC